GCGGAGGAAAAGAAACCAACAGGGAUUGCCUCAGUAACGGCGAGUGAAGCGGCAAAAGCUCAAAUUUGAAAUCUAGCACCUUCGGUGUUCGAGUUGUAAUUUGAAGAUGGUAACCUUGGGUUUGGCUCUUGUCUAUGUUCCUUGGAACAGGACGUCAUAGAGGGUGAGAAUCCCGUCUGAUGAGAUGCCCAUUCCUAUGUAAGGUGCUAUCGAAGAGUCGAGUUGUUUGGGAAUGCAGCUCUAAGUGGGUGGUAAAUUCCAUCUAAAGCUAAAUAUUGGCGAGAGACCGAUAGCGAACAAGUACAGUGAUGGAAAGAUGAAAAGAACUUUGAAAAGAGAGUGAAAAAGUACGUGAAAUUGUUGAAAGGGAAGGGCAUUAGAUCAGACUUGGUGUUUUACGAUUAUCUUCUCUUCUUGAGUUGUGCACUCGUAUUUCACUGGGCCAGCAUCGAUUCGGAUGGCAAGAUAAUGGCAGUUGAAUGUGGCUUCACUUCGGUGGAGUGUUAUAGCUUCUGCUGAUAUUGCCUGUCUGGAUCGAGGGCUGCGUCUUUUGACUAGGAUGCUGGCGUAAUGAUCUAAUGCCGCCCGUCUUGA
rnacentral:rRNA from 1 species